AAGGGCCUCGCGCCAGCCUGGGGGGCGGAGGGAAAGCGCCUCGCGCCAGCCUGGGGGGGCGGAGGGAGGGGCCCCGCGCCAGCCCCUGAGCCCUCGUCGGCGUCCUGCUCUUCUCCCGCCGCUACCUGAGCGGGCUGCGCCGAGGGCCUCUUCCCCGCUCGCCGCCAUCCGCCCGCCUGCCCGCCUGCCCACGGGGGCUCAGCGACUCCCCGGCAGCGCAGAGGCGCCGAAGGGAACGGGGGGCGGAUAACUGCACUUCACUCGCCUUUUCAACCAGCUGCUCCAGCCAGAAUCCACAUUCUCCAGCUCCAAAUCCCAGGCCCGUAGCGCCUGAGUGCACUAGCGGAUGCAGCCAUCACCACCACAAGGAUACCACAGUGCCUAGAGGUGGUCAGCAACUGGAAUAAAAACAUUUGAUUCAAACUCAACCUGGGCAAAAAUAAAGUGGUGUUUGAAAGAGGGAAAACUCUUUGAAGAACCAGCUGAGUCAUUGUCCUCCCAUUCCACCGAAAGCCUCUCGCCCAGUAGUGUUGUAGCUGGGUCCUAAUUCACUGCAUCAUCUACAAUGUACCAAGAAAGCUAUGCUUCUCAGGGGCAAUACAAUUCAGAAUGAAGCUCUGAGAGACCUGGAAACAAAGCAUCAUUGGUCCAAGGGGUUGGAUUGUCAAACAAGUUUGCAGAGGAAAUCAGGCUAAUCCAGAAUCUCAGUUUCAGGGCACAUUCCAAAACCCUCUUUGACAAAGCUUCUCCAAUAAAACCAGAUUAAUGGGGUGCAAUGGGGUAGGGAGAAAAAAGGAUGGAGGAGAGGGAGAGUAACAAAGAAAUAGAAAGUAUAUAUACCAAGCAGAGGAGCCUCCAUCCUUUAUAUGGAAAUGGAGAAGAACAGAAUUGUAUGACAUCAAUGUGGGGACCUUGCCCUGCAAACCAAAUCUUAACUGGGAAGCAGUUAGCAGUUUUCUGCAGCAGUAUCCAUCAUCAUAAUAACUAAUAGGUAGGUGAACAGAAAGACAGGGAAAUUACACAGAAACUGACAGAAGAAUCUAGAUCUUAAAAAUGUGUUUAUUAAGUGACAUGGGCAUGUUAAAUGUCCCCGUGGAUUUUGGUUAACAGGAAUGUACUUAAAAUGUCAGGGCUAGAUGAAGUUUGAUGGGGGCCCCCCUUUUUGCAUAUUCAGUUCCUCCCCUUUAUUGUUUUGCCACCAUCCGUGCCUGGUACCAAACACUCCACUGCUAAAUUACCUUUAUUUCAGUUCUGGUUUUUAAAAAAGUGAUAUACCAAUUGUAAAGCUGAAUUAAAGUUCAACAGACAUUUUAA